rnacentral:rRNA from 1 species
CAGAGCCGCGGGAAUACGAAGGGUGCAAGCGUUACUCGGAAUUACUGGGCGUAAAGCGUGCGUAGGUGGUGGUUUAAGUCCGUUGUGAAAGCCCUGGGCUCAACCUGGGAAUUGCAGUGGAUACUGGGUCACUAGAGUGUGGUAGAGGAUAGUGGAAUUUCCGGUGUAGCAGUGAAAUGCGUAGAGAUCGGAAGGAACAUCUGUGGCGAAGGCGACUAUCUGGGCCAACACUGACACUGAGGCACGAAAGCGUGGGGAGCAAACAGGAUUAGAUACCCGAGUAGUCCCUGUCUCUUAUACA